CUCAUCAUCGUAACUGUGGAUGAAAUAUCAGGCUUUCUCUAGUGCCCUUGAAAAUGUGCCAGAUCAUAGGAACCCAGAGCACCCUGCCUUCAAGGAAGAACAUAAGUGAUGGACCAGAGAUGGGAGAGCAGAGAGUGAGGUAUCUAGCCCUUCUGGAAAAGGUUUCUGCCAUGAAGAAUGGAAUCGUUCAGAAAUUUACUGUAGGACUCAACAUAUCUCUUUUACCCUCCUGGUCUAUUUAGUUGUUCUUGAGAAGCCCGUAGAAUCUUCCUUUUCAUGGACCAUAAAUAAACACCCAAUCUAACACUU